rnacentral:SRP_RNA from 1 species
UAUUAAGAGGUGCAAUAAGUACAUAGGAACCUGGUCAGGGUAGGAAUACAGCAGCCAUAACUAUCAAUGCUUAUGUGCACUUUUUUUAUGGAGU